GGAGGAAAGCAGGGGAUCGCAAGACCUUGCGCUUUUGGAGCGGCCGAUGUCUGAUUAGCCAGUUGGUGAGGUAAAGGCUUACCAAGGCGUCGAUCAGUAGCUGGUCUGAGAGGACGACCAGCCACACUGGGACUGAGACACGGCCCAGACUCCUACGGGAGGCAGCAGUGGGGAAUUUUGGACAAUGGGGGAAACCCUGAUCCAGCCAUGCCGCGUGAGUGAAGAAGGCCUUCGGGUUGUAAAGCUCUUUCAGCCGGAACGAAACGGUCACAGCUAAUACCUGUGACUACUGACGGUACCGGAAGAAGAAGCACCGGCUAACUACGUUCCAGCAGCCGCGGUAAUACGUAGGGUGCGAGCGUUAAUCGGAAUUACUGGGCGUAAAGCGUGCGCAGGCGGUUUUGUAAGUCAGAUGUGGAAUCCCCGGGCUUAACCUGGGAACUGCGUUUGAAACUACAAGGCUAG
rnacentral:rRNA from 1 species